AGAGUUUGAUCCUGGCUCAGAUUGAACGCUGGCGGCAUGCUUUACACAUGCAAGUCGAACGGUAACGCGGGGGCAACCCUGGCGACGAGUGGCGAACGGGUGAGUAAUACAUCGGAACAUGUCCUGGAGUGGGGGAUAGCUCGGCGAAAGCCGGAUUAAUACCGCAUACGCUCUGAGGAGGAAAGCGGGGGACUCGCAAGGGCCUCGCGCUGCGGGAGUGGCCGAUGUCGGAUUAGCUAGUUGGUGAGGUAAAGGCUCACCAAGGCGACGAUCCGUAGCUGGUCUGAGAGGAUGAUCAGCCACACUGGGACUGAGACACGGCCCAGACUCCUACGGGAGGCAGCAGUGGGGAAUUUUGGACAAUGGGGGCAACCAUGGUCCAGCCAUGCCGCGUGAGUGAAGAAGGC
rnacentral:rRNA from 1 species